rnacentral:rRNA from 1 species
GACAGAGGUGCAAGCGUUAGGCGGAAUCACUGGGCUUAAAGCGUGUGUAGGCGGAUCGUUAAGUACCUUGUGAAAUCCCACGGCUCAACCGUGGAACUGCUGGGUAUACUGGCGAUCUUGAGCCACCUAGGGGCGAGCGGAACAAGCGGUGGAGCGGUGAAAUGCGUAGAUAUCGCUUGGAACGCCAACGGUGAAAACAGCUCGCUGGGGGUGUGCUGACGCUGAGACACGAAAGCCAGGGGAGCGAACGGG